UAACCUGCCUCUUAGCGGGGGAUAACUAUUGGAAACGAUAGCUAAUACCGCAUAAAAGUCGAUAUCGCAUGAUGUUGACUUGAAAGGUGCAAUUGCAUCACUAAGAGAUGGACCUGCGUUGUAUUAGCUAGUUGGUGAGGUAACGGCUCACCAAGGCGACGAUACAUAGCCGACCUGAGAGGGUGAUCGGCCACACUGGGACUGAGACACGGCCCAG
rnacentral:rRNA from 1 species